GGCAGAAAGUGAGCUCUGUUUGCGAGUAUAACCAAAUUUCUCCGCUGUAGCUUCUUGUGUGUAGAUGCUACCUAUACAGAUGAAUUUUAUACAUUGUAAAGUGAGGAAAAAUACUACAUGAGUGGAUAUAUUUAAAAACACAAAAAUCUAUGUAAACAAUAAAACAAAGCAGCUGCAUCUAGUCUACAGAGGUUGCAAAAACAGAAGAAACAAAAGAACUUCUAGUUGCCUCAAAGACCUAGCAAUCUUCAUCUGUUUGUGACUGUUGUUUACUCAUUGUAUUCCCAGAGCUUUGAUUCCCUUAAUCAAUGACAAGGAAUAAGCAUUAUUUUGUUUCCAUUCCUCUCUACUUUCCUUCUUUUGUUCUGCUGCCAUGAAGAAUUGAUCAUUACCAUCAAGAAUGCUUACUGUCUGCCUCAUGCUUGGUCUUAAUUCUGGGUUGGACCUAGUGCAUGUAAUUCCCAAUUUUAUGAGUCUCAUCAGUUCCUUAUGAUCGUACACACAGUUCAACCUUAUAUCAACGAGGUCCUCCAGUGGCCUUUUCUGUGCCUCAAACUCAUGAACUCUAUUGACCACUAGCACCUCAGGUCGCCGGAAGUCUACAGCCAUCUGUCCAGUGACCACCUCAAGCACUACCACACCAAAGCUAUACACAUCAGCCAUUGGCGUUGCUUCGCCAGAUUCUAUGUACUCUGGUGACAUGUAACCAAAAAUCCCGCGAACUGAUUUAUUUCCUUUACUGGCUGCUUUAUGGGCACGGUCAUUUCUUGUCAAGAAUUCCGCAAGGGCAAAGUUACCGAGUCGUGGGUUCAUAUCUGGAUCAAGAAUGACAGAAGAAGAGGUGAUGUUUCUGUGGAUAACUUGUUCAUCCCAUUCCUCAUGAAGAUAAAGAAUGGCAGAAGCAAGGGACUUGACAAUGUUGUAUCGGUGAUGCCAUUGCAGGAUAGAAUGGCCAACUCUGUUAUCAUGAUGGAAAAGGAGGUGACUUAGGAGACGAUUUGCUGAAUAAUCAUAGACGACAAGCAACUCUCCUUGCUCGGUGCACCAUCCACGGAGCUGUAUUAGGUUGCGAUGGCGGAGCUUGGCUAAAUUUUGGAGUUCAGAUGAAAAUCGUGUUCUUAUUGCAGGGCAUUUUGUCAUGCCAAGCCUCUUCACCAGAACCUGGUGGCCAUCACCGAGGAUGCCUUGGUAAGCAGUUCCAAAGUCCACCUCCGCUACCCUAUGUGAGUCAGCGAAAUUGUUAGUAGCAGAAAUAAUUUCCUUGUAGGAUAUCUCCCUUGGAGUUUCCACCAUGAAGUGUUUGCUUUGUCGAUGACUUCUGUUGUUAGAUGAACUAAGAUCAUUGUUUCCCAAUUCUGCAGUUGCAUAUAUAGUUUCUCCAAUGGCUGUGACAAAGGUUGAAGUAGUGGAUGUGACUGUAGUGUUGGAGCUCGGUGUAGAGGUGGUGGACCUGGCAGUGGUGUUGCUUGUGCUAGUAUUGGAAGGGGAGGAUAAGGACACGUAUCGAGGAUGGGACUGAAAUGAUGGUAGAGGUGGCAAGUUGCCUGAAAUGUUUCCAGAAAGUAUUUCCACAAUCCAUUUCAUGUUAGGCCGAAGUUGUGGGUUGUGGAGUGUGCAGAGGAGCCCGAGAUGAAUCAAUCGCUCCAUAUCAGAGAGCGAAUAGGAUCCAUCUGGGAGCCUACUGUCCCCUGCUUGAAAAGGUUUCCCCAUAUCGUAUAGUCUUCUGAUCCAGUCAAGCAAAAUGAUCUGAUCAUCUGAGUAUGUGAGAUCCACAGCCCGCCUCCCAGACACUACUUCUAACACAACAAUCCCAAAACUGAAAACAUCAGAUUUUGCAGUAGCAACACUUUUUUUCUGGAAGCUUUCAGGUGGCAAAUAACCAAUAGUGCCACCAAUUCUAGUUGACUCUGCCAAGCGAAAUCGGUUGUUUCUCAUUGAAGGCAUCCUAGUUUGGUACUGAAGUUCAUGUUCCAGCCACCUUGCCAACCCAAAGUCACCAAGCCGAGCAUUAUAAUGGGAGUCAAGCAUCACGUUACUUGUCUUUACAUCCCUGUGAAUGAUCUGAGUCUCCAAUUGUUCAUGGAGAUAAUGUAGUGCAGCUGCCAGGCCACCAAUUAUUUUCCUUCUUCUCUCCCAAUUAAGAGGUGCCGCUGUCAUGUUUUCGGGCCUUCUAAAAAGCAACCUGUCGAGGCUGCGGUUAGGCAUGUAGUCAUAAACCAGAAGCAACUGGUCUUCGUGAACGCACCAUCCUCUUAGCCUUACAAGAUUCCUGUGUCGUAGGUGAGCCACAGCAACUAACUCGGCUUCAAAAGUCUUCUCAAACUGUUCCCCUUUCUCAGCCAAGCAUUUCACGGCAACCACAGUACCAUCACUAGGUAAAACUGCUCUAUAAACUUUGCCAAAACCUCCACUACCAAGAAUUUCAUCUUCACUAAACCCAUUAGAACCAAUAAAAAGCUCUGCAUAACUGAAAAUCCUCGGAUUGUCACCACCAACCUUCUCAGAUAUUUGAAUUCCGUCAAGAUCGUGAAACGCACCAGAUUCUUGUUUUCUUGGUCUCUCAGGUUGACAACAACCAACCCAUUUCGAGUCAUACAACCGGCGUAAAAAAUCACCAAAGAAAGUUAGAACUUGACUCCCGCAGCCACCACGGUGGUGGUGUUUUCUGACCUUUUCUUUAGCAGGUGAAGGUGGAGGGACCUGGGGGUGGUCAUAUGGUGCGAUUUCAUCUAAGUCAGCCGGCAAGAUGAUACAAAGGCGGUUGAGCUUCAUGACAAUGGUGCCAGAGAAUGGCUAGAAAGGCAUUAAAGGAAGGAAAUUAAGGUGACCAAACGAAAAUGAAGUGUACUUUACUGGACGUGCAUUUAUAUUAAUGAAAAUUGGGUACCUUUUCAAGGUGUGGUUUUAUUCAACCUUGUGAGGUUGCAUGGUUGAAUUGUAUUCAAUCAACCGCUCAACAAGGGACCUACCAAGCAUACAUCACCAUGGAAGGUUCUCAACAGCAAAAAAUUUGAAGAAAAAAAAAACCCUACUCUUCAGAACCUUAAAUUUCAUAUUCUAUAGUUUCUGGAGCACAUCCAAGAAUGCAAUGGAUGUUUUCACGAGAGGUUUCUUGGUCGUACACAACACCUUUAUUAGAGAGCUUACAUGGUCUUGAAGUCUGCUUUAACAUGUCA
rnacentral:misc_RNA from 1 species